UUUAUGGAGAGUUUGAUCCUGGCUCAGGAUGAACGCUGGCGGCGUGCCUAAUACAUGCAAGUCGAGCGAACGGAUGAGAAGCUUGCUUCUCUGAUGUUAGCGGCGGACGGGUG
rnacentral:rRNA from 1 species